UUUUUUACAAAAUAGUUGAAACUCGUUAGUUUCAGUUGUCAAAUGUUCAUUUGAUGUUAAUAUUUUUUUAUAUUUGAUAUGUUUAAUAACUUAAAACUGUAGUAAUUGCGUGUAAGAGGAGCACUGUAAUGUAGAAUCAGCUCUGAGACGCAAAGAUGAUGCAGAUCCCAACUAAUGUGGUAAAUUAAUCAUUAAGAAAUACAAUUUAAAUGAAAUACAGUAUUGUAAAAUAAAAUGGCCUUGGGCAGAGCACACUGCUAAUAUGUCAUUGGAUCUAAAAAAAAAACCUGCGAUAUAUUCAUUUGAUCAGUUAACAAACUUAAAAAAUACAGUAGUUUGACAUCUGAAUAAGCACAAUUUUCUCUAAUGUCGCCGUUUCACGCGAUUUCAUGGUUUUAGCGGGAGAGCUCGCAGGUUUAGCUGGCAGAGGUGAACUCUAACACGGGGCGCUUGUCUCUCGCUCCCCUGGCCAGGGCCUUAAAACUGGAGCGUGCGAUUUCCUCACCAUGUCACGAUUUCUAUAUUUAAUUUGAGACCUCGAUUACAAAAACAUUGAUUACAUGAUUUUGUCCGUGUCAGUAACCAUAAAACAUACCGAAAGUGGCAAAUUUUUACGGAUGAGAAACCAUUAAGCAUUAUGAGACGGUUUUCCAAGGCUGCAUUAUAUAUUAAAACCAUGAAAGGAUUAGUCUACAACGCCGACAAUAAAACAAAUUGUCGACAAAUAUCUUUGUGUUCGAGUAGUCGUUUUGAUCUCAUUUAGACCUAAACUUAUAUAAAGGCCUGUAAUGUCGUGAUUUGACCGCUACGACGACGUAGCGCUAGAGUGUAAUGCAGCCCUAACAAAUCUGCGAUAGAAGAAGAUAGAUGAAGAAACACAGCGCGGAUUAUGGCGAAGUGCAAACGGAUCAUAACGAAAGUUUUACAACACUUCAAACCAAGAAUGCUGUCGUGUGUAAUACACAAAAGACAGAUCUUGCCUUGCCUUUCACCGGAGCACAUGGUGCAUGUUGGAGCACUUAAAGGGGAAAUAUCCGGGCGCAAGAUGACUCGGUGGGAGUGAAUCGAAGUCAUCGGACAAGAGGACCAAAUCCUCAGAAGGAUGCCGAAAUUCACAUACAAAAGGGCAAGGACAAAGACAACAUAACAAAAAAUUUUAUUAAUCCCAUCAAAGGUUGGGGUGUGUUUGCAAAAACACAUAUCUUGAAGGGUUCCUUUAUUCUCCAAUAUAAAGGAACUUUAUUGGAAAAACGGAAAUUUGAAAAAAAAAUAAAUGAUUAUACAUACUUUUUCAAGCACAGAGGACGUGACUACUGCAUUGAUGCCUCCUUUAAUGACGGCUCAAAAAAUUGAACUAGAAGGAAAGCCUCAUCUUUGUUUAUUUUCUAUAAAAGACAUAAAUCCAGGUGAAGAGAUAACUUAUGAUUACGGAGGACAUGACUUGCCGUGGCGUUCUUGCUGUCAGCAGGAACUGUUUAAGCUUGUCCAUGAGCCUGUAGCUGCAGGAAGUGACGACACAUCUUCUAAAGAGGUUUGUUAAUUAUUUUGUCAA